rnacentral:tRNA from 1 species
GCCCCUGUAGCGCAAUUGGAAGCGCGUAUGACUUCUACGACUCAAUCGGUUAUCAUAAGGUUGCGAGUUCGAGCCUCGCCAGGGGUU